UUAUGAACAGAAGGGUGAUUUAAAAGCUAAAAUGCCGCUAUAUGCAAGGCAUGAAGUAGAAGCCUGACUCUAAAAGGCUUAUCAGUAAAUCAUCAGCAGCUAAAGACAGCAGUGGAGAAGGUGGAAUGUUAGGUAGUUAAGUUUGAGAAAAUCUAGGUAGCUUUUAAGUUGCAUCAAAUCUUUCAGAUAUAUAAAAGCACUUUGCAAAGUUGUUAUUAUUCCUGCUUUGCGGACAAAGAGCUGAGUGCUGGAGAAGGCAGGGCAGGAAGGCAGUGGCAGAAUGUCACCCAAUCACCAGAUCAACUGCCUUUAUUUCAGUAUCUAUUUCUAGAUCGGUUUGAAAAACUUUGACAAAAGCAUCUGAUUCUGGAAGACCCAUGGGACAGAUGAUGGAGAAAAGGCAUCAUAAAGGGCUUCUGAGAAAUGACAGCCUGUGAAGCUGGUGUAACAACACAGAAGAAGUCACAGUGCAGGGAAGAUGGCAGUGUCUGCAGAAGCUGCCAGACCCCCACGUGUUGCUGAGAUUGCCAGAAAUGGGGUUCUGAAGAGGGCUGAGCUGGAGAUAACUCAAAGCAGAAAACAAUGGAUGUCUGUAUGAAUAGCAACAAAAAAACCCUGUAAUUAAACCACCACUAACCUCAAGCUAAAUUUUAUACAUCCAAAAUGAUCUGCACUUCCAUUUUGUCUGCUCAUGGCUGAAUUCGUUCUUGUUAUAUAGUAUGAGAUUGAUUAUAUACAUAUAAAGGAUUUAACUUGGUGGAAAAACAACAUAUAAAAGCUUUUUUAUAAACAAGUGUGCUUGUUCAUCAGACAAGAACUGAACAUGAAAUGACCAACUAAAUGCAUAAAGUUCCACAUGCUUUAUCAUGUUACCUGUAAUAAACUAGGUUAAUGCAAAAUCAAGAUGCACAGACAAAUCGGGGGGAAAAAAAGAAACACAGAAAUUAAUGUUUUGAGAAUAAUGUCAUCUAAGCCAGCCUGUAGGUACAGUCUGCUGCAUAGGAGAGCAGUGAAAGCGUAAACAGAAUACUAGAUGUGGAUUAAGCUACAAACUGAAAUAGCUGUGAACAAAGGCAAAGUCCGGUUGCUCUUGGAACCUUAAUGUAAGGAAAUAUCCUUAUAAAAGAUGAGACAAUAGUGGUUCUGUAAAUGACAGUCCCAUAGGCAGGAAAAAAAUUAAGAACUUCCUAUAGCUCCUAAAGUAUCAACCUAUAUUAUAACCCUUCCACAAAUCUUCUGUAAGUGCUUUCUCUGUCUUAGUCCACCCAGAAUAGGGAAAAACGACAGGCACAGACACACUCCAAGCAGACAGAAGUAGAAGGAGAAGGAAAUGCAGCACUUGUUCAGGACCUUCUGCCAGUGCACCUGUAAGUCCCAACGCUCACUUGCUCUCCUUGCUUCCUCCAGAACAUACAGACCUUUGCCAGCCCUCAUCCAGGCUAUGGCAACAUGCUGCUUUCUAGAGCAGUGCUGCUUGGUCUCUGCAGAGUGCUGGGAACGUGGGCUUAGAUACCAACAAACACAACUAGGCUGAGGCUUCAUUGUUCAUUUAUUACUUUUAUUUUCUUUGUAUUGUUUUGAAGUGGGGAUUUUUUGAUAGCUUUCUUUUCCUUGCUUGUAUGAGUAAUAAAGUGUGUUCAUUUAACUGGGCAUGUAUUUAAUUUGAAAACAUUCUCAAAAUAUCUUCUAAUGCCUCAUGGACCACAGGCUGAGAUGCAUUUGUAUAUUCCAGACAUUCUCAGAAUGUUCAGGCUAGUAGAUUUCUCUCAGCUUUCAGAUUUUCUUGCCACAUACUCUUCUCAUCAAAAUUUUAACUGAAGACUACGGACAUUAUUAUUUAAUACCGUUCCACAGACCACUUGCAGCAGACUUGCCAAGGUCUCAUGGAUUAUCAGUGAUCUAUAGGAUAGAGGCAAGGAACCAGCAGUCCAGAGCCUUUAGUGAUCCUGACUGUUUGUCGCUAACACUGUAUAAAGACCAUUCCUAUAAAUCACUCUGUUAAAAUUGAAUGAACCUGCGCUUCAGAAAAUAUUUCAAGGAAUCAAAAUAAUCUGCAGGAGUACAUCACUGAGUGGAGGGGAAGAGGAAGGUGAAUAGUCCCACUGCAGCUACUGCUAACAUAUGCACCUCUAGGCACUCCAUAUCGCAGGAUGUGGAUGAAAAACUGAACAAUGUGAAGAGGUACAGAAGAUGCAAACCCAGGACCUGUUUCAAGUGACAUCAAAUGCUUGAAAAAUGCUUUGCAGUUGAUUAUAAAUUCAGUGGGAUCUACAGAAAUCAACGCUAAAGAAUUUGCAGCAAGUCCAAGCUCUUGAGAUCCUCUUGUUGCUCCCUCUGCCAACGAUUCCUGAUUCUAAGCCUGAGACUUUGGGCAAUUUUGGUCCGAAAGUUCCAGUGUAAUAGUUGCAUCAUCUGUUUUAGCAGUGACCCCGUUUGUCAGGUGGAACUGGUGUGCUGUAUGCCCACAUUACAGAAGAGGUAUCAAUAUAAAAAAUAAAUAAAAGCUGCUAAAAAUUCUGCAGGUGCUUUGGAAAAUACUGAGGAUUCACCUUCCAGCUGCUCACCAUUCCUAAUUUUGAAUCUUGUUUGGGUUUUGGGGUUUUUUUUUGAAAACCAAGCAAAUGUGCUGGUCCUUACCACAGGGCUGUACGCUACGUCUUGCCAAGCUUAGUCACACGUGGCGCUCCCCUGAAUCAACAGGCUUGCUAAUGUGAAUGAAUUUUCAGCUGAGUUCUAUUAAAAAAAAGGAUGACAACAAGAAGCUACAAAUAGUAUUCAGGGUCAAAUUAUAUAGAGUGUCACCAUUGAUAUCUGCAUGUGCAAGUCUGGGCUCUAAAUUAUUUUAGGGCACAGUUUGUCCCCACUUCUUAUUCUUAGAAAUCAAGCUCCUGCUCCUCAAAUAAUCCCAAUGGAGCAGAUUAUGCCAACCCUAUCAGAGGUAGAACCUUGGCCAACAGGCAUCCAUGGAUUUGGAGGGACUUUCUUCAGAGCAAGGUGUUACUGCAAGUAAAAGCUACAGACUCUUGCUGUUGUAAGCUAUGGGACUUCUCAACAGUACAGUGAUAUUUCUCAUGUAGGGCAGCUCAGACUCUCAUCCUGAACCAUAUUUAAUAUCCCCAUCUCUGCACAGCCCCUCCAACCUCAGGGGAACUGCUCAAUAGGUAAGUGACUGGGAGGAAGGACGUCAGAGCCAGGCCCUCUCCUGUGAGGCACAAAAAGUGUUUGGGCAAGAUUCCCACUGGGAUAAGUUUGCAUAAUUUUUCUAAGGCUGGGAGCAAAUGUUAAUGCAAUUUUCUUCCUUCAGAGCAGUUUUAAAGUCACUCAAAGCCCAAGAGCAUUUUCCCUGGGAGACUGGACUUCCCUCUUCAAUGUAGUUCCCGUUACUCAUCUGAUGACUACUGAUUACUCAUGUGAGCAAUGCAUGUGGAGCUGAGGUUUUGUAGAAGCAGGAGUAAAACACAAGAGCAUGUCCACUUGCUCAGAAGGGCAAAUUUCUAGACUUGAUAACAAAAUCAGACCUCUGCCAAAACCUCUCCCUCC
rnacentral:lncRNA from 1 species